GGGGAUUUAGCUCAGUGGUAGAGCGCUUGCCUAGCAAGGUCAAGGCCCUGGGUUCGGUCCCCAGCUCCG
rnacentral:tRNA from 1 species